AGUCGAACGGUGAAGCAUAAGCUUGCUUCUGUGGAUCAGUGGCGAAAGGGUGAGUAACGCGUGAGUAACGUGCCCUCAAGUUGGGAAUAACCUUCCGAAAGGAAGGCUAAUACCGAAUGUGGUUAUUUUAUCGCAUGUUAAAAUAACUAAAGAUUUAUUGCUUGGGGAUCGGCUCGCGUCCAAUUACGCUUGUUGGUGAGGUAACGGCUCACCAAGGCUAUGACGGGUAGGUGGUCUAAGAGGAUGGUCACCCACACUGGGACUGAGACACUGCCCAGACUCCUACGGGAGGCUGCAGUCGAGAAUCUUCCGCAAUGGGCGAAAGCCUGACGGAGCAAUGCCGCGUGUAGGAUGAAGGCCCUUGGGUUGUAAACUACUGUCACCGGGGAUGAAUAUUGACAGUACCCGGAGAGGAAGCCACGGCUAACUACGUGCCAGCAGCCGCGGUAAUACGUAGGUGGCGAGCGUUGUUCGGAUUUAUUGGGCGUAAAGGGUUCGUAGGGGGUUAUCUAAGUCUGAUGUGAAAGCCCGCGGCUCAACCGCGGAACUGCAUUGGAAACUGGGUAACUUGAGGAUCGGAGAGGAGAGUGGAAUUCCGGGAGUAGCGGUGGAAUGCGUAGAUAUCCGGAAGAACACCGACAGCGAAGGCAGCUCUCUGGACGAUUCCUGACCCUGAGGGACGAAAGCGUGGGUAGCAAACAGGAUUAGAUACCCUGGUAGUCCACGCCG
rnacentral:rRNA from 1 species